CACGAAAUGUCAGAUAUUAAAAAAUGUUAAACACGGUUUUAUUCAUUGUAGUAUUUGUGUAUAUCACAGCCUGCGAUGUUAAUUACUCUGACAAUAAUAACCAUGGAUUUAAAUAUCUAAGUCAGCGAGAAGUGUACUAUCAGUAUACGCAGUGCACGCGUCGUUUUUCUCCUGGUGUGUGCUCUACGCCAAUGAGACCUGUGUGGACUUUUGCAUUCCCGCUUCAAAAUUGCACCGAAAGACUAGGAUGUCCGCGCGACUUGCGCGCAAACCGAUUUAUGUCAUAUUCUCGGUGUAAGAGACACUGCCAAGGUCUGAUAGAUCUUUACACACAUAUACUGGCAAGUGGUAACAAUAACGUUACCAUGUUAAGA